rnacentral:rRNA from 1 species
AGCGAACGCUGGCGGCAGGCCUAACACAUGCAAGUCGAACGAACUCUUCGGAGUUAGUGGCGGACGGGUGAGUAACACGUGGGAACGUGCCUUUAGGCUCGGAAUAACUCAGGGAAACUUGUGCUAAUACCGAAUGUGCCCUUCGGGGGAAAGAUUUAUCGCCUUUAGAGCGGCCCGCGUCUGAUUAGCUAGUUGGUGAGGUAAAGGCUCACCAAGGCGACGAUCAGUAGCUGGUCUGAGAGGAUGAUCAGCCACAUUGGGACUGAGACACGGCCCAAACUCCUACGGGAGGCAGCAGUGGGGAAUCUUGCGCAAUGGGCGAAAGCCUGACGCAGCCAUGCCGCGUGAAUGAUGAAGGUCUUAGGAUUGUAAAAUUCUUUCACCGGGGACGAUAAUGACGGUACCCGGAGAAGAAGCCCCGGCUAACUUCGUGCCAGCCGCCGCAGUAA